GACGAACGCUGGCGGCGUGCUUAACACAUGCAAGUCGAACGGAAAGGCCCUGCUUUUGUGGGGUGCUCGAGUGGCGAACGGGUGAGUAACACGUGAGUAACCUGCCCUUGACUUUGGGAUAACUUCAGGAAACUGGGGCUAAUACCGGAUAGGAGCUCCUGCUGCAUGGUGGGGGUUGGAAAGUUUCGGCGGUUGGGGAUGGACUCGCGGCUUAUCAGCUUGUUGGUGGGGUAGUGGCUUACCAAGGCUUUGACGGGUAGCCGGCCUGAGAGGGUGACCGGCCACAUUGGGACUGAGAUACGGCCCAGACUCCUACGGGAGGCAGCAGUGGGGAAUAUUGCACAAUGGGCGGAAGCCUGAUGCAGCAACGCCGCGUGCGGGAUGACGGCCUUCGGGUUGUAAACCGCUUUCGCCUGUGACGAAGCGUGAGUGACGGUAAUGGGUAAAGAAGCACCGGCUAACUACGUGCCAGCAGCCGCGGUGAUACGUAGGGUGCGAGCGUUGUCCGGAUUUAUUGGGCGUAAAGGGCUCGUAGGUGGUUGAUCGCGUCGGAAGUGUAAUCUUGGGGCUUAACCCUGAGCGUGCUUUCGAUACGGGUUGACUUGAGGAAGGUAGGGGAGAAUGGAAUUCCUGGUGGAGCGGUGGAAUGCGCAGAUAUCAGGAGGAACACCAGUGGCGAAGGCGGUUCUCUGGGCCUUUCCUGACGCUGAGGAGCGAAAGCGUGGGGAGCGAACAGGCUUAGAUACCCUGGUAGUCCACGCUGUAAACGGUGGGUACUAGGUGUGGGGUCCAUUCCACGGGUUCCGUGCCGUAGCUAACGCUUUAAGUACCCCGCCUGGGGAGUACGGCCGCAAGGCUAAAACUCAAAGGAAUUGGCGGGGCCCCGCACAAGCGGCGGAGCAUGCGGAUUAAUUCGAUGCAACGCGUAGAACCUUACCUGGGUUUGACAUGGAUCGGGAGUGCUCAGAGAUGGGUGUGCCUCUUUAUGGGGUCGGUUCACAGGUGGUGCAUGGCUGUCGUCAGCUCGUGUCGUGAGAUGUUGGGUUAAGUCCCGCAACGAGCGCAACCCUUGUUCACUGUUGCCAGCACGUUAUGGUGGGGACUCAGUGGAGACCGCCGGGGUCAACUCGGAGGAAGGUGGGGAUGACGUCAAGUCAUCAUGCCCCUUAUGUCCAGGGCUUCACGCAUGCUACAAUGGCUGGUACAGAGAGUGGCGAGCCUGUGAGGGUGAGCGAAUCUCGGAAAGCCGGUCUCAGUUCGGAUUGGGGUCUGCAACUCGACCUCAUGAAGUCGGAGUCGCUAGUAAUCGCAGAUCAGCAACGCUGCGGUGAAUACGUUCCCGGGGCU
rnacentral:rRNA from 1 species